GGGACGAGUACAGUGGCGAACUGGUGAGUAACACGUGAGAAUCUACCCUUUAGUGAAGAAUACCUUCGAGAAAUUGAAGUUAAUACUGCAUACGUCCCUUCGGGGAGAAAGACGGCCUCUUGCUGUCGCUAAAGGAUGAGCUCGCGUACUAUUAGCUUGUUGGUGAGGUAAAGGCUCACCAAGGCUUUGAUGGUUAGCCGGCCUGAGAGGGUGUACGGCCACAUUGGGACUGAGAUACGGCCCAGACUCC
rnacentral:rRNA from 1 species